rnacentral:lncRNA from 1 species
GCCGGGCGUGGUGGCACAUGCCUGUAAUCCCAGCUACUUGGGAGGCUGAGGCAGGAGAAUCGCUUGAACCUGGGAGGCAGAGGUUGUGGUGGGCUGAUUUUGUGCCAUUGUACUCCAGCCUGGGCAACAAGAGCGAAACUCUGCCUCAAAAAAAAAAAAAAAAAAACGAAAAAAACAAAUUUAUAUAUUUUGGAUAUGGAGUCUCGUUUUGUCACCCAGGCUGGAGUACAGUGGUGCAAUCUCAGCUUACUGCAAGCUUUGCCUCCCAGGUUCAAGCGAUUUU